rnacentral:rRNA from 1 species
GACGAACGCUGGCGGCGUGCUUAACACAUGCCAGUCGAACGGAAAGGCCCUGCUUUUGUGGGGUGCUCGAGUGGCGAACGGGUGAGUAACACGUGAGUAACCUGCCCUUGACUUUGGGAUAACUUCAGGAAACUGGGGCUAAUACCGGAUAGGAGCUCCUGCUGCAUGGUGGGGGUUGGAAAGUUUCGGCGGGUGGGGAUGGACUCGCGGCUUAUCAGCUUGUUGGUGGGGUAGUGGCUUACCAAGGCUUCGACGGGUGGCCGGCCUGAGAGGGUGACCGGCCACAUGGGAACUGGGAUACGGCCCAGCCUCCUACGGGGGGAAGCAGUGGGGAAUAUUGCAAAAUGGGCGGAAGCCUGAGGCAGCAACGCCGCGUGCGGGAUGCCGGCCUUCGGGUGGUAACCGGCUUUCGCCUGUGACGAAGCGUGUGUGACGGUAAUGGGUAAAGAAGCACCGGCUAACUACGUG